rnacentral:sRNA from 1 species
CCGAAGGGGCGUACGAUCGAUUGCACGACGGGUUCGGGAGUGACCGGUCCGAAGAACCGGCGAAGGUUGAAAG